rnacentral:rRNA from 1 species
AUGGACGCAAGUCUGAUGGAGCAACGCCGCGUGAGUGAAGAAGGCUUUCGGGUCGUAAAACUCUGUUGUUGGAGAAGAAUGAUCGGCAGAGUAACUGUUGUCGGCGUGACGGUAUCCAACCAGAAAGCCACGGCUAACUACGUGCCAGCAGCCGCGGUAAUACGUAGGUGGCAAGCGUUAUCCGGAUUUAUUGGGCGUAAAGCGAGCGCAGGCGGUUUUUUAAGUCUGAUG